GGCUUCCAUUCGUUCACACUGCUCUUCGUAGAAGUACUCCAGCUCAUACAUGGAAAGUACACCGUCUCCAUCUACAUCCAUGCAGCGGAACCAGUACUCAAUACUAGGAGUUUCAUCUUGAAAGUUCCUUGUACUCCUGUGUCUCUUGGAUCUUGCAUUUCCCUGUCCUGUGACACGCACAUUAUCUAGAAGUAUCCUACAGAGGAGAGUCAGGGCAGGUAAGUUGUUCUGUGUAUCUUUGUGUGUGUGUGCAUGUGGAGGCCAGAGGUAGGCACUGGCUAUCUUCCUCAGUUGUUUCUCCACCUUUGAGACAGGGCCUCUCACUAGCCAAAUAGGCUAUGCUAACUGACUAGUGAGCUCCAGGAUCUACCUCUCUCUACCUCCUCAGCACUGGGUUACAACAGGUGCCAUGCCUGGAUUUUUAAAACAUGAAUUCUGAGGAUCAAACUCAGGUCUUCAUUCUUGCAUGGAAAGUAAUUUACCGACUGAACCAUCUCUCCAGCCCAUAAUUGUUUUGAUCUUCCAUUAUGUUUUUCCUUAAACAUUUUUAUUUAUUUCUUUUAAACAAGUUAUUACUGUGUAAUCUGAGGUGGCCUCUAGCUCCUGGACUCAUGUGAUUCUGCUCUACUUGAGUAGCUGGACAGAAGGACACAGCAACCUCCUGGCUCAGAUCUCAGAUAUGGAAAGGUUCCUUUUUCUAACCUCUAAUGUGGUAUUUUGGCUAAUUCUAGAAUAAAGCUUGGCAGUGCUUUUCCUUCAGAUUUUUAUCUUUGUUUUUACCGCAUUUCAGGGGGUAUCACUCUGUAGCCCUGGUUAACCUGGAGUCAUGCAGAUCAGACAGACCUGGAAAUCAGAGAGAUCAGCCUGCCUCCCAAGAGCUGGGACUAAAGGUGUGCUCCACCACAUCCUGCCGGCCUCCUUCAGACUCUUCUCCCCCCUUUGGCUUUUUGAGAUAGAGUUUCUCUGUGUGGCCCUGGCUGUCAAGGAACUCACUUUUGUAGACCAGGCUGGCCUGGAACUCACAGAGAUCUGCCUGCCUGGGCCUCCCGAGUGCUGGGAUUAAAGAUGUGUAUCACUAUGCCAAGUUUACCUAAUGCCAUUGGAAAAAAACCAAAACCUAACCAAACAAAAAAUUACCCCCUUUAACCUAGAAACUCUAAAUUUAUAUCCCUUAGAAAAAUAGUAGACAUCUAAACUAUUCAAUUUUAUCAAGUAGAUGAUAUUUAGGAGAACAUUUAAUAGAAAAUUAUAUAGUAUCACAAUUUAGAUUUAACUCAAUGUUGGGCACAGUAGUGUAUGUAGCACAAUUUGUAGGAGAGUGAGGCAGGAGGAUGCCUUGAACCCAGGAGUCCUAGGUCAUCCUGGGUAACAAAGAAAGGUCCUGUCUCAAAAAAGAAAAAAAGAUUAGUUCUACUAAAAUAAUUUAAAUGUACAAAUAAUGUAUAAGAGUAUAUAUAAAAAAGCCUAUAUAAUA